CCCAGCUGGACGUGAUGGAAGAUAAAUGAGUAACACAGAUGCUGCUGUUACUCAGAGGCAGACCUGCAGAAGCAGGACAGAAGUCCUGCAAGUACACACCGAUGCCUUGGAUAAUCCUUUGAAGGAAGAUCAUUUCGUCCAACAUAACAAAACGAUAUCCUUCAUGUACUGAUGGAAACACUGGCAGCACAUAUGGAGGCCAUAUUUCUGGAUCAGACCUUGCGGGUUUGAACAGACUCAACGAGAGAGAGAACCCUGGCCGAAUUUUCACAGGUGGCUCCAGGACAGCUGCUGGUGACCCAUCUUGCUCUCAGGAGUGCAACGAGGUGCAGGCUCAAACUAGAAUCCACUGAAUGCCCAAGCUUGCCAAUUGGAAAACUUCCAUUAUCAGCAGGUGCAACCAGGAAACUGACAAAAGAAACAUGAAGAUCAUAAAUUAUAGUGUUGACUUCUGGCUCUCCCUCUUAUCUUCUGCACAACUGAAGAACAAUUCACGUAAAUAACUUCGAUGUCUGAAUUAAAAUUUGAUUUUUAAUUUGCAUUCAAAAGUCAAAAAUGUGCAGGUGUUACUGAAACCACUGGUGUGUGACCAAAAAGUUUUUCCACAUUAAGCACAAAGAAAGGAAUGUCCUUUGGUUGGUGAUUACAACAGCUAUUCAUAAAGCCUGCCUCUGCAGUUUUGCUUCUGGAUAUCAAUAAGGAGACCACCUCUCAGUCUGAUUGCCUUUUACACCUUCCGUCUCAUUGCCUUUCACAUAUUGGAUAAACAUUUGUCCCCAGGACAGACCACAAAGUCUCUCUCUGAGUUAUUCAGGCAUUCAUAGCAACCAAAUCUGAUCGCUGCAAGGCAAGGUAAUCAGUUGCUUAGCAGCUGGUUGCCACAGUGGCAAACUCCACCAGUUGAUCAAGUUUUGGUUGAUUUGGGUGAAUGGCACUGGCAGAAGCGUCCUUGUUCUGGGAGGGGCAGUAUGGGAUGGUGGAAUAGGAGUUACCAAACUGGAUUCAAUUUUUACUGAACCUUCUACCAACUGGAUGGCCUUGGACUGUUUCUCGGCCUCUUUGAAUUUGAAUUUCCUUAUCUGCAAAAUGGAAAGACAGUAAAACCUACUUUGUAGAUUGUUGCAAUCAUCUGGGAUCACCUGUGUAAAAUACCAUCACAGAGCUUGGCACACAGAAGCCACUCGGAAAAAGGUAGCUAUUUUCUAAAACUCCUCCCUCUUCCAAUCUGUCGUCUCACUGCUG
rnacentral:lncRNA from 13 species